rnacentral:rRNA from 1 species
GAUGAACGCUGGCGGCGUGCCUAAUACAUGCAAGUCGAGCGAACAGAUGAGGAGCUUGCUCCUCUGACGUUAGCGGCGGACGGGUGAGUAACACGUGGAUAACCUACCUAUAAGACUGGGAUAACUUCGGGAAACCGGAGCUAAUACCGGAUAAUAUAUUGAACCGCAUGGUUCAAUAGUGAAGGACGGUUUUGCUGUCACUUAUAGAUGGAUCCGCGCCGCAUUAGCUAGUUGGUAAGGUAACGGCUUACCAAGGCAACGAUGCGUAGCCGACCUGAGAGGGUGAUCGGCCACACUGGAAGUGAGACACGGUCCAGACUCCUACGGGAGGCAGCAGUAGGGAAUCUUCCGCGAUGGGCGAAUGCCUGACGGAGCAACGCCGCGUGAGUGAUGAAGGUCUUCGGAUCGUAAAACUCUGUUAUUAGGGAAGAACAAAUGUGUAAGUAACUAUGCACGUCUUGACGGUACCUAAUCAGAAAGCCACGGCUAACUACGUG